GCUUAACGCGAAGAACCUUACCUACCCUUGACAUGCCAGGAACUUGCCAGAGAUGGCUUGGUGCCCGAAAGGGAGCCUGGACACAGGUGCUGCAUGGCUGUCGUCAGCUCGUGUCGUGAGAUGUUGGGUUAAGUCCCGCAACGAGCGCAACCCUUGUCGUUAAUUGCCAUCAUUUGGUUGGGCACUUUAACGAGACCGCCGGUGACAAACCGGAGGAAGGUGGGGAUGACGUCAAGUCCUCAUGGCCCUUAUGGGUAGGGCUUCACACGUCAUACAAUGGUCGGUACAGAGGGUUGCCAAGCCGCGAGGCGGAGCCAAUCCCAGAAAGCCGAUCGUAGUCCGGAUUGCAGGCUGCAACUCGCCUGCAUGAAGUCAGAAUCGCUAGUAAUCGCGGAUCAGCAUGUCGCGGUGAAUACGUUCCCGGGUCUUGUACACACCG
rnacentral:rRNA from 1 species